UACGGAGGGUGCGAGCGUUGUCCGGAAUCACUGGGCGUAAAGGGCGCGUAGGCGGCCUGAUAAGUAGGGGGUGAAAUCCUGCGGCUUAACCGCAGGGCUGCCUUCUAAACUGUCAGGCUCGAGCACAGUAGAGGCAGGUGGAAUUCCCGGUGUAGCGGUGGAAUGCGUAGAGAUCCGGAAGAACACCGGUGGCGAAGGCGGUCUGCUGGGCAGUUGCUGACACUGGAG
rnacentral:rRNA from 1 species